AACGCACCUUGCGCCCCUUGGUAUUCCGAGGGGCAUGCCUGUUUGAGUGUCAUUUAAAACAUCAACCCCCUGAGCAUUCUUGCUUGCCUCUGGGGGCUUGGAUGGUGAGGGUGUGCUGGUGGCAUAUGUGCCUUAUGCCGGCUCCCUUGAAAUGUGUUAGCUUGGUCUCGUUGCCGGGACAGCGUCGGUAUGAUAGCUCUUGUCUGUGCCGUCGUUGCCUGCCUUGGACCUGCUCCCAGUUGUCCCUUUGUCGGGGGACUGCUCAUGAUUGGGCACUUUUGAAGCUUGACCUCAAAUCAGGUAGGACUACCCGCUGAACUUAA
rnacentral:misc_RNA from 1 species